rnacentral:rRNA from 1 species
AACGCACCUUGCGCCCUUUGGUAUUCCGAGGGGCACACCCGUUUGAGUGUCGUGACAUCUUCAAACCUUCUUGGUUUAUUGACCAAGAAGGCUUUGGACUUUGGAGGUUUUUGCUGGCCCUUCCCUUGUUGAAGCCAGCUCCUCUAAAAUGUAUUAGUGGGGUCUUCUUUGCUGAUCCUUGACGUGAUAAGAUAUUUCUACGUCUUGGGUAGUGCACUGUUUGCUAUGGAUCCUGCUUCUAACUGUCUCAUAGAAGACAAUAGUUUGAGUGAUUGCCACUCAACACAACCAACCUUGACCUCAAAUCGGGUGAGACUACCCGCUGAACUUAA